CGCCUUCUUCUUCACGCUUUUCGCGAUCUGAGAGCGGAGUGAUUCGACGUUUCUCUUUCUCAUUUCUCCAGACCCCGAUUUGCUAGAUCGAAUCGUGAGACCCUUUUCUCUUCCUCUCUUCGUUUCUGUUUCACGAUGAUCCUCCUCAGCACCUCAAUCGACAUGAUGACAUCAAAUCUAAUGACUUCCUCGAAAUCCCAUGACAAGGAAAAGACUGUUGCUCCUCGGAAGAAUCGGGAGGACAUAUCAGAAGCAAAAGUAUAGAGACCGUUCAAAGGAGGGAGAAUGAAACAAGGCGGAGUGAUAGAGCAGAAAUCAAACAUGUUGAGAUGGAUUCCGCCUGGAUCUCCAGGAUUAGGCGGCGUUGAGGUUAAGAACGAGAAACAUAUGCGCCAGGUGGCUCUUCAACGAGACGAGAUUGAAUAAGACGUGUUCAGCAGGAGCGGGAACAUGGCGUCUCACUGACCACGAAAGAGGACGAAAACCUUGCAGGACCAUCUGGAUGCAAGUCACCAAGUGUUCGACGAAUUGCCUCACACACAAUUUUACCAACAACUUUAUCGUCUUAGCCUCUCACGAGGAAUAUCUACGGUUCGUUCAGGUUAUUUUUCCUAAUUUGCUAAUCAGCUUUUGUUUAAAAUAUUUAUAUAAAUCUACAAAAUGAUGCUCAGGAAACAAUGUUGGAGAUUUCAGUUACAUACGGAGAUGUCCUGAAGCAAACAUGUAAAUAAAUUUAGAAUUCGAUUUAUAAGUUAGUUCAAAGCUUCUCAUAUCACUACUUCUUCUCAGCUUUUAGAAGUCAACAUUUAUUUGUUCUCGAGGUUUCCGUUUUUUUUUUUAACUUUUGACGAAAAACUUACUUUGUAGCUCAUCUUAUAAAGCGGCAGAUGCAAAUGACUCUAUUACCAAAUUUGAAUACAUCUUCAGCUGCGGUCUCUUUGAUUGUGUGGAAGAAAGCAUUGGUUUGUUUAUGUAUAUACAAACGAGAAAUGUUUGGUGUCUCAGUUUAUGAACAUGAAGGUUGCUGGCAAGUAGAGGAUGCCAUGAGGCUUGCAAGGGGGAGGUGUCAAACUGAGGACCUCACCUAGAUGAUUAAAUUAAUCUUACCGAUGCUAUGGUGGCAUACCAAACUGCCGCAAAAGCAGCGGCUCAGAUUCAGAGCGUUUCGGGAUAAUGCGAUGAAGGCGGCAUGGCACAGUCAAAGGUUAUCCAGUUUGCCAACAUCGAAGAAGAGGCUAAGAGCAUAUGAUGAAGAUCUAGAAUGCUUUCUGCAAAUAUAUGUAUAGUAAUGUCAAAGCUUCUAUCUGGAUUCACUGUCGGUUCCAGACAUGGAAAAUUCAAAGAGAGUUCUUCAAAAUGUGGGGUCAGCAAGUUAGGAUCCAAGUAUGUAGUGAUAUAAGAAGCGCUAAUGCAACCAACAAGGCAAUGAAAUCGCGGCGGUUGACGUGUGUCAAAGUGGAUUAUAGAGAGGUGGAGAUACAGAGGCAUUGAUGACCGAUUUAUGAUGGGGUAGAGGAUUGUGUUUAAGAAGAGUAGAUCUCGCUAAAGUUGAAGCCAUUGUCGAGACUUGGAAAGGUGUAAAAAUCUUUCCCAAAAAUAUCUAUCAUCAAUUAGACCCUUCAUAUCAUAUAAUCAUGACGUUUAUUACUCUUCACGAUUACCAAUUGUAGACAUUUUUCUAUAUUUAAAAUAAUAGAUAUUGAGCAACGAAAGAUCUUCUCAAUUAGAUACACAGAAACUCUGAGUGAGCUUAGCAGUUGGUGCAUUUUCAGAUUUUUUUUGUUGAUUUUCAGAUCAAUGACAGAAAUUCAUGAUAUACUA